GGGACGGAAGUCCCGCCCCCGGGGCCGGUGGGCCGCGGGGCGGGGAACGCCCCGGCCGCUCGCAGACAGUUUCCGGGAACGCAGUGGAGGAGGCGUGGUGGGCGACGGUUCUGAGGCCUUUUUCCCGGGUCUUGUGCUGAAGGCCCCGGUGCAGACGCCAGGAUAAGAAUCACUGAGCCAAACAAAGAGCUAUGGCAGAGACCAACCUCCAGGAAGUUCAUGAUGAGGAAGAACAACAACAGGAAGGCCGGUGCAAAGAGGAGGCGGUCCAGCAGGAGCCUCUUGAGCCCAGCCAAGGGGACCUCAGAAGGGAUCCAGUGCUCCAUGAAGACGUAGAAGAAGUGACUCAGUGGCCCUGUGAAGAAGAACCUGAGGCCCCACGGUGGGGUGAUCCCUCCACCCAGCGUGGGGCUCGAACUCAAGACCCCAAGAUCAAGAGUUGCAUGCUCCACUGGCUGAGCUAGACAGGCCUUGAGAGGGAACAGAAGUCUUGAAGAUGGAAACUGUGAGUAACACUUCCCAGGGGAUUCUGACACACUCCCUCCCUCCAGGGUGAUUAUGGCUUUAACUACAUUAUGGAAAAGUUGUGAUGACCGCAACCAACAUGCUUACAAAUAUAAAGUGAUAUUUCUGAAUUCUAAAUUGAAAAAAUGACUCUUGUUGCAAAAGACUUCAAAAUAAUCCAUCUAUACAAACACUAUUGUUGGCCUGAGAACUCAGGGAAGACUUAAUUGGUAAAACUGAAUCUCUGUGGUCUUUGCAAUUCCAAAAGUGGUUCAGAAACUGGACACUUUUCAGGAUACCUAAAUAUUUAUUUUCUGGAUGCUUACACUAUGAAAAUAACGGAAACAACUGACCAUAUUUGAGUCUGUUUUCCUCUUUCAUGGUCUUUGUGUCUUGAAGGCUAACUUAGGUUUAGGUGAAUUAUCUGCCCUCAGAUCUCUCAGCCCAAUGAAGACAGCCACCCCCACCCGAGCAAUUCAAAAGGAAAACCAUAAAACAAGUUCACAUUAUCCACCAUUCUGAUUUUUUCCCAUGAUUACUUCAAUGCUUUUUUAAAAAUUAUUUCUCCAGGGGCGCCUGGGUGGCUCAGUCAUUAGGCGUCUGCCUUCGGCUCAGGUCAUGAUCCCGGGGUCCUGGGAUCGAGCCCCGCAUUGGACUCCCUGCUACGAGGGAAGCCUGCUUCUCCCUCUCCCACUCCCCCUGCUUGUGUUCCCUCUCUCGCUGUGUCUCUCCCUCUGUCAAAUAAAUAAAAUCUUUAAAAAAAAUUAUUUCUCCAAAUUAGGAAUUCUGAAAUAUCAGAAACUUGGUCUCACACCCUCGCUUUGUUGCAAUCAGUCUGCUACUGGGUAGACCAGCCCCUUGAUGGAACUCACCCAUAA